rnacentral:rRNA from 1 species
CCUACGGGAGGCAGCAGUGGGGAAUAUUGCACAAUGGGGGAAACCCUGAUGCAGCGACGCCGCGUGAGUGAAGAAGUAUUUCGGUAUGUAAAGCUCUAUCAGCAGGAACGAGACAAGUCGGUACCUGACUAAGAAGCCCCGGCUAACUACGUUCCAGCAGCCGCGGUAAUACGUAGGGGGCAAGCGUUAUCCGGAAUCACUGGGUGGAAAGGGAGCGUAGACGGAUGUGCAAGCCUGAAGUGAAAGGCGGGGGCCCAACCCCUGGACUGCUUUGGGAACUGUCCGGCUGGAGUGCAGGAGAGGGAAGUGGAAUUCCUGGGGUAGCGGUGAAAUGCGUAGAUAUUAGGAGGAACACCAGUGGCGAAGGCGGCUUACUGGACUGUAACUGACGUUGAGGCGCGAAAGCGUGGGGAGCAAACAGGAUUAGAUACCCGGGUAGUC